UACGAAGGGGGCUAGCGUUGCUCGGAAUCACUGGGCGUAAAGGGUGCGUAGGCGGGUCUUUAAGUCAGGGGUGAAAUCCUGGAGCUCAACUCCAGAACUGCCUUUGAUACUGAGGAUCUUGAGUUCGGGAGAUGGUGAGUGGAACUGGCGAGUGUAGAGGUGAAAUUCGUAGAUAUUCGCAAGAACACCAGUGGCGAAGGCGGACUCACUGGCCCGAUACUGACGCUGAGGCA
rnacentral:rRNA from 1 species